ensembl:lncRNA
UAUGAGAGAACUGUCUAAAUUUUCCCUAAAAUUAUUGUUUUUUUCUAGACCCACACAAUGCAUUAUAAGGAUAUAUAUUUUCCUUCCAGCAUCUGUUUAUUUCCCCCUUUGCAGUUUCCUAUUUUUCAGCUUACUUUUGCUGUACGAUGGGAAGCCGGUUCCCAGCCCUGUCCCCGGGUCUCCGAGGGUGGAAGAGAGCUGAUCCCUGGUUCCCUGUUCUGAAGAGAGACCUGGCAAAGGGAUCAGAGCCGUUAAACACCAGGGUCUCUAGAGCAAGCUGUUUCUUUAAAAACAAACAAACCAACCACCUGAAAGACUGGAACUGGAGUUUUCAGAGAGAAGCUGUUCUAAACCGAGAAAACCACGACCAUCAGUGGAGGAACCCUACUGCUCUUUGGGAUGUGUGGGACUCAGCCGACAGAGGUGGGAGAACUUCUUCAUUUUCCUCUGACAAAACAACUGAGUCAGUGAAUGAGGCAGGUGAAGUGUUGGAGAGGCACCAUCUUCACCCUAGAGCACCGAGAGAGGUCCUUAGGCACUGCUCGAGUCACCACUGCUGCUGCUGGUGUGGCAGAGGAAAAAAAAGCAGAUUAAUUACCCACCAACACGUCUGACCUGGCAACUGGCACAAUGUCUCUUGCUUGGUACCGAGCGGCUUGGCUCUCACCUUAGCUGCAGUAACGCUUCCAGCUCCUCUUCUCCCGCCCCUGAAACACCGUGUAAGUAGAUCCAUCUCUUAACUGAAGAGCUUACAAAUUAGAAAAGUAUAUUUUAGUUCAAACAGUACUUCUCAGGAUUGAUUCUUACUUCACAGCUUACUUAACCUCUAACACUGAGACAAAUGGAAAUUCACUCCUAACUUGCAAUAUGUAUUUCAAUAGCCAGUUUCCCUCAUGUUUAAAUGAAUGGUUUAAAGGAGUGGAGGUGGAUUGAGUGUGACAGGCCAGCAGCUACGUAUGGAAAUGCACCCUGUUUAGUAUUCUGUAUCUGCCUGGGAAUAGGAGGUACCCCGUCCAAAAUGAGUACAGGAUGCAUGUCCCAGUUGCACAUGCAACCUAAAAUCUGAUGGUCCCCCUAAUUGCUAAUAUACUGAAUGACUGUCAUACAUACAAAUGAACACUUAACACAUUUUUGCAGCUCAUUUGCCUUUAUAAGUAUUUUUAAAGGGCACAGCCCUGAAAAUUAUAUCUCCAGAAAUUUGCAGCAGUGACAUCCUGUUACCGCUCUUAAAUGAGGAAGAAAUGUCAUUCCUAGUGCCUUAGUUACCAGUGGAGACCCUGCAGAAACCCAGGGGGGGAAAACCGUUAAUCCUUUACAUCAAAACUUGGGCAACAUCCAAUGAGUCUUCUCCAGCCGGAACCAGGGAUGGAGACCUGGGCGCCUCCUCUCGGAGUGCUUUCAGCUUGCUUUGGGACCAGAAACCCACUGUAAUGGGACAUAAGUUAGUUCUCCUGAUGACAUGGUUUUCAGAAGGUUUCAAAGUGAAGGUUCACAAGCCCAUACAAUUGUACUGGCAGUCCCCCAUCCUCUUGGUAAGGAUUAACAGCCCCCCAAAGAAGCAGUCCCCUCUCAAACGUGUAGCUCUGAAGUGCCUUUGGGGAUGGUCAUCCUAGGGCUG